AUUGAACGCUGGCGGCAUGCUUUACACAUGCAAGUCGAACGGUAACAGGCCGCAAGGUGCUGACGAGUGGCGAACGGGUGAGUAAUGCAUCGGAACGUGCCCAGUCGUGGGGGAUAACUACUCGAAAGAGUAGCUAAUACCGCAUACGAUCUAUGGAUGAAAGCGGGGGACCGUAAGGCCUCGCGAGAUUGGAGCGGCCGAUGUCAGAUUAGGUAGUUGGUGGGGUAAAGGCUCACCAAGCCAACGAUCUGUAGCUGGUCUGAGAGGACGAGCAGCCACACUGGAACUGAGACACGGCCCAGACUCCUACGGGAGGCAGCAGUGGGGAAUUUUGGACAAUGGGCGCAAGCCUGAUCCAGCAAUGCCGCGUGAAGGAAGAAGGCCUUCGGGUUGUAAACUGCUUUUGUACGGAACGAAACGGCUCUGGUUAAUACCCGGGGCUAAUGACGGUACCGUAAGAAUAAGCACCGGCUAACUACGUG
rnacentral:rRNA from 1 species